ensembl:snoRNA LOC120096818 small nucleolar RNA SNORA17
UCCUCCCCUAGAGUGCUGCAGGUGUGCGUGGCUGCUGUGUCACAUGGGCAUCAGUAGGUGGCAGAGAGGACAGAGGCUAUGUUUAUGCUCAAUGUUCUGUGAAUAUCUGAAUGAUUAGUAGCCUAACAUU